UUAAGUCAGGCAACAAGCGAGAUCCCUGCCCUUAGUUGCGAGAGUUAUUCUCAGGGACAGCUCAGCUAACUAGGGGGACCGCCACUGCUGAAGUGGAGGAAGGAGGGGGCCACGGCAGGUCAGUAUGCCCCGAAACCCUAGGGCUACACGCGGGCUGCAAUGGUAGUGACAACGGGUUCCGAACUUGAAAGAGAGAGGCAAUCCCUAAACACUACCACAGUUAUGACUGAGGGCUGCAACUCGCCCUCACGAAUAUGGAAUCCCUAGUAACCGCGCGUCACAACCGCGCAGUGAAUACGUCCCUGCUCCUUGCACA
rnacentral:rRNA from 1 species